rnacentral:rRNA from 1 species
GACGAACGCUGGCGGCGUGCUUAACACAUGCAAGUCGAGCGGGAACCUCGGGAGGGGUAACCCUUCCGAGGGGAGAGCGGCGAACGGGUGAGUAUCACGUGGGCAACCUGCCCCGGACACCGGGAUAACCCAGGGAAACCUGAGCUAAUACCGGAUACUCCGGCACGAUCACAUGGUCGUGCCGGGAAAGCUCCGACGGUCCGGGAUGGGCCCGCGGCCUAUCAGCUUGUUGGUGGGGUAACGGCCCACCAAGGCGACGACGGGUAGCUGGUCUGAGAGGACGGCCAGCCACACUGGGACUGAGACACGGCCCAGACUCCUACGGGAGGCAGCAGUGGGGAAUCUUGUCCAAUGGGCGAAAGCCUGAGACAGCGACGCCGCGU